rnacentral:Y_RNA from 1 species
GGCCGGUCCGAUGGCAGUGGGUUAUCAGAACUUAUUAACAUUAGUGUCACUAAAGUUGGUAUACCACCCCCCCACUGCUAAAUUUGACUGGCUUUAA